AACGCGAAGAACCUUACCUACCCUUGACAUCCUGCGAAUCCCGAUGAGAGUUGGGAGUGCCGAAAGGAACGCAGAGACAGGUGCUGCAUGGCUGUCGUCAGCUCGUGUUGUGAGAUGUUGGGUUAAGUCCCGUAACGAGCGCAACCCUUGUUCUUAGUUGCCAGCGAGUAAAGUUGGGGACUCUAAGAAGACUGCCGGUGAUGAACCGGAGGAAGGCGGGGACGACGUCAAGUCAUCAUGGCCUUUAUGGGUAGGGCUACACACGUGCUACAAUGGGGCGUACAGAGGGUAGCCAACCAGCGAUGGGGAGCCAAUCUCUUAAAGCGUCUCGUAGUCCGGAUUGGAGUCUGCAACUCGACUCCAUGAAGUUGGAAUCGCUAGUAAUCGCGAAUCAGCACUGUCGCGGUGAAUACGUUCCCGGGCCUUGUACCACACCGCGUGUCU
rnacentral:rRNA from 1 species